AUUUUAAUUCUCACACCCACUUCAGGGGUCCUAAAGCAUCUUUGGUGUCUAUGUGCCAUCCAACUCUCAUUUGUAGCUCCAAGAAGCUCUAGCCUAUGCAGUGACCAUUCCUGAGUAAAACAAUCCCAGCAAAAAUGAUAAACCAUGUGGAGUGUAAUGAAUAGGCUCUAGAUCUGGUGCUGAAAAGGGGGGAUGUCCACCUCAAACAUAUGAAGCGUGCCCCUAGCAGAACACAGAUGAGAACAAUUUGUUCCAACAGCCAUGAAAGCAGAUGAAGCAGGCACCAGAGAUGCCAAGAUCAUGACUGCAUCCCAAGCCAUCACCAGUCAUCUCGACUUCUGUCUUACCACAGGGCUUCAACGAUUCUGGGAGAGAGAGGAAGGCUAACAACUUUGUGCAACUCUGCCUUAAAACCGAUUCCUGUUCAAGUCAAGACAUCACCCUGUGACGUCACUAGUCCUUUUCAAAAAGAAGGACAAACUACCAAACAGCCUCAGUAAUGGUUAUAAUGGGUUUUUGCCUAGAGUGGGUUUGUAGUGAUGAAACUAUUACAUGUAAAGAUCUACUCCAGGAGACACAACAAUAAGCACAGCCUUGUCCUUCGGCCAAGUGGGUUGGAACCUGAAGGGUAUUCGGAGACACCAGCCUAUGGAGAAAUUGAGGCAUACAGAGGAAAAAAUGAUCAUCUACUGGUGAAAGUAGAGUCAGAGUUAGAAAGCUACAUCCUAAGAAUCAGAAACUCCAGGUUAACUACAUGUCAAGAAAUGUUUCCGACCCAGACAGCACGUACCUACCAGUUUGAGGUGGUGUUUUCAUUUCUCACAUGUGCCGAAGACCAGACUUCCAGUUGCAGGGCCCAGGACUGAGCCAGAUUCAGGGCCAUAGGUAACCCCAGCUUAAUUACUCUCUCUGAUGGAGACUGGGCAUUCUUGCUGUCCCUUUAAGGGAAUGAGAACAGAAUCUUAGAAUAAGAUGGUUUGUCAUUCUUUGAGGAAUUUUGUGAGCCUGUCAAACCAUGAAGAGCUCU
rnacentral:lncRNA from 1 species